UCCCUGGUGGCCCAGUGGUUAGGACUCGGCGCUUCCACUGCCAUGGCCCAAGGUUCAAUCCCUGGUUAGGGAA